rnacentral:lncRNA from 1 species
UUCAGUAUUUCUUUUAGAAUGGGUUUGGUAUUGGUAUAGUCUUUUGGCUUUUGUUUGUUGUUUUUUUAUUUCCCCUUGUAUUUUAAAUGACAUUCUUGCUGGAUAGAGUAUUAUAGGUUGCAUAUUUUUUCUCUUCAGGUCUUUAAGUAUCUCUUGCCAUUCCCCCAUGGCCUGUAGAGUUUUUGUAGAGAAAUCAGCUGAUAGCCUUAUGGGAGUCCCUUGUAAUUGAUAUUUUGCUUUUCUCUUGCUUAUUUUGGGAUCCUCUUUUUAUCAUUAACUUUUACCAUUUUUAGUAAUAUAUGUCUUGGUGUGAGUCUAUUUGAGUUCAAUUUGUUUGGGGCCCUCUGUACUUCCUGUAUCUUGAAAUAAGUAUCUUUUAAAUUUGGAAUGUUUCCAGUGAUAAUUUCUUCAAUUAUAUUUUCAAUACCCUUUUCUUUUUCUUCUCCUUCUGGAAUUCCUAUUAUGCAUAGAUUGGCCAGCUUUAUAUUAUCCUAUAGGUCUCUUAUUUUGUUUUCAUGUUUUUUCAUUUGGUUUUCUGUCUGCCUGUUGUCCUAUUUGGGUGACUUCCAUUAUUCUAUCUUCCACAUCAUUAAUUCAUUCCUCUGUAUUAUUCAUUCUGUUUUUUUAGUGCCCUUAGAUCAGUUUGUGUCUCUGCAAAUGAAUUUUAUAUAUUUUCUUGGCUCCUCCUCAUAUUUCCUAGUUCCUUUCUGAGGGAAUCUGUGUUACUGUUCAUAUAUUCUCUUAAUUCCUUCAGUAUUUUCACUGUCUCCCUUUUGAACUCCAAGUCUAUCAGACUGCAGAGGUCUGUUUCACUGUUGACUGCUUUAGGUGAGUUCUCUGGUUGCUUUAACUGGGAAUGGUUUCUGAGCUUCUUCAUCUUGUUUGUGUUUUUCUUUUUUGUGGAGAAGGGAAGGUGUUGUUUUCUGGCCUUCUUUGAAGCAGUAGGGCUUUUCCCAAGUGUGUGCAAGGCUAGCCAUGUCACUCCCACUCCGUGGCAGAGGGUGCUUCCCCAGGGUGGGUGGGGCUAGCAGGGUUACUCUGAGGCAAAGGAGCACUUCCCAAGGAUGGGUAUGACUGGCAGGUGUGCACCGCAGUGGAGGUGCAUUUCCAGUGGCCAGGCAGGGCUUUCCCUUGUGCUCCUGGGCUUCAGAGCUCUUCCUGAGAUCAGGCAGUGCUGGCCAGCAUGCUCCACAGAAGUGCAGCACUUCCAGAGGGCAGGCGGGUCUACCUGUCUCACUCCCAGGCAAAGGAGCACUUCCUGAGGGCAGGCAGGACUGGCAGGCAUGUGCUGUGGUGGAGGAACACUUCCCAUGGCUGGACAAGGUUUGUCCUGGUGCUCCUGGGCUGCAGAGGUCUUCCUGAGUGGAAGCAGUUUUGGGCAGCUUGCUCCGUGGGUUGUGGGGUGCUUCCUCUGUGUGGGCAGGCUGAGCUGGUGAAAUCCUCAGUGGUUGUUGGCUUCCCACAAAUGGUGAGGCCAGUCCACUGGGAUGGCAGGCAGCUUCUGGCCAGGUGAAUGUUGAGUGGAGGCGGGGGAAUGCACUGGGAAGGUCUGCUGUCUGCUAACUGGCAGGCAGGCAUGCAACUGGAGCCUAAGGUGUAUUCUAUGGCAGCCCACCCCUCCUCCUCUCCCCUACCCACACUGGUGCCUUGUGUCUACAGUGGGUUCAGACCUUCUCCCUGGUUCCAUCUGUUGUGGCUUUCCACUCCCCAGCCCUUAGCUAUUGCUCUCUACCUGCAACGCACCACUUCCUAGUCUCUCAGGCUGUCUCCACACCAACAACACAAGCCCGCUCCCAGGGACUAACCUCAAGAGCCUUGGUCUUGGUACCCAGCCCCCACCUGAGCAUCUCAGUUUUUGGUGUCUGUGCCAGUGGUUCAGAUGAUCUUUGUGGUUCUCACUCUGCUUUUCAGAUCUCAGACCUGCUGCUGUGCUUUUCUUGGCAUCAGGAUAUCCCUCCAACUUGGUUGAUCUUUCUGAUGGUUAGGUGACUUUCCAGGGUGUGGGUUCCCUUUCUCCUUCUCAGCUCCCUCUUGGGAGUGCCAGUCCAGUCCUGAUUCCCUUCUCUCUCGUCUUUUCUUAUGUCAAGAGAUUCUUGCUAUUUUUUGGAGGUUUAGGUUCUUCUGCCAGCAUUCAGUUGUUGUUCUCUGUGAGUCAUUUUACAUGCAGAUGUUUUUUUUGUUGCGUAUGUGGGAGAGGGCAAGCAUGUCCCCCUACUCUUCCACCAUUUUGCCUCCUCUCUUGCUUACAGCCAUUUUUAAUCUCAUGCCUCUCCAUUCACCUUUUAAAAGUUUCUUUCUUCUUUUAAAAUUUUUAAUCAUUUAUUUUUAAUUUUUAACCUGUUUCUGUUCUUUUUUUUACUUUCAUUUGACUUUAUUUUUAAUUGAAGUAUAUAGUUCAUUUACAAUGUUGUGUUUGUUUCAAGCAUACAAUAAAAUGAUUCCAUUAUACACACACACAUAUGUAUUUUUUUCUCAGAUACAUUUCCCUGAUAAGAUAUUACAAAAUACUAAGUAUAUUUUCUUGUGCUUAGAGGAAAUACAUUCACUUAAUAAAAUAAGUCCAUUGAUGAACAUCUGGGCUAUUUACAGCUUCUGGCUAUUAAAUAAUGCUCUUAUGAACAUCCUCGAAUAAAUCUAUGCAUAACUAUAUACAUUCAUUUUCUUUAGAAAAACACCUACUCACGUGCUAGGUAUAUGAUUAACUUUUAAAUGAAAUGUUCAAACUCUUCUCUAGUCCCAUGAGCAGUGUAUGAGGGUUCCAGUUCCAUCAUAUCUUCAGUGGCACUGAGGGCAUUGGUUCUCUCAAUUUUAGACAUACUAAAAGGUUUAUAAGGAAAUAAACCAGUUUACAAACCUGUAGCCACUUGAUUGGAGCCCUGUAAAAGAUUGGAGUCCUCUGAAAAACAGUCCUGUGACCUUGGGUAUUUUUUGAACUUUUUGAGUCUCCCUAACUCUAUGCUUGAUUUCAUUAUUCUGCAGCAGUUUUCACUGUUUACCUACCAUUCAUUUUGCCUUAAUAAGUUUUGUUCUGAACCACCUCCAAAUUGGAUGUGUGUUCUAAGAGAGGGAUUUCUGGUUAUAUUAUUAUCUAUUAUGUCUCUAGAGAAUAUAUCAGUAUUACAUUUGUGGGAACCUGAAUGAUUAUUUAAAGGAGUGAGUGAAUGAAUGAACAGAUGAAAUCAUUCAACAGUUACCAGUCACAAUUGCCUGUUGGGAGCCAUAGCUGAUCUGUAGUGAUACAAAGAAAUUGACAAUAAGCCUUAACAUUUAAAAAACUUUCAUUAGGUGUUCCUUUAACCAAUAUCCCAACUCACACAAAGACUGUGAUCAUUAUUUCCACUUUGAAGUAACUGAGUCUCAGUGGUUUUGAUAAUUUGCUCAAGUAUGCUCUCUUGGAAGGGGAUGUACCCAGACUCUUUUUUCCAGUUUUAUAUUCAAUCUCCCUCCUCCUGAACAAGGCAUGGACCUACAUACAAAACCUUCCAGGGGAGUGGGGAGACAUGCACAUUUUAAGGGUCUUUGUGUUCUAAUGAAAGUUUGUGUCAGUGUUGGGGGCAGAAGCCCUUCCACUGCCUGUGCCAUACACCACGCUUGGGAGAAGCUGUGAUCAUGAUGCAGAGGUCCCAGCCAAUGCAUAAACUCCUGCUUCUUAUCAGAUACUCGACUAGAAGCCCAAAGUACUACUCAUAUCAUUGACACUUUCUCCUGUGAAAUAAGGUGCAGCUCAGCUCCUGUGGACCCUAAUCAUCCUCUGUUCCAAGGGGCCAGGAGGAAGUUGGGCAGUUGCCCCAGUGAACUUCUCUAGUCAGGGACUUGGGAUGGUUUCCCUCCAAGGUCUCUUUAGGAUGUAGAAAAGGAGAUCUUGUGCAUCAUUUUGAAGCUGGAGAACCAGCAUGAGUGUCUGUACAGGUCCUCAGGUCACCAAGGUUUGCUCUUUUUCUUUGGAUUCUGGGUCUUCUGGAAAAAAAAGUGAGGAUUCAGGUAACAGAAUGAAGCAGAAGGUAUUUGAACUCUGAGCACAGGUAUAGUUCAGAAGGAGUCCAGAAACCUCCCUAGUCAUGCAUGUGUGUCUAUGUGUAAGUGUGUGUGACCAUCAGAGAAGUUAUGUGUAUUUGUGUAUCUCUGAUGUAUGAGUCUAUGUGUGUAUGUGUAACUGACGAACACACUGAAUGGCACACACUAGGAUAUACAGAGGUUAGAGAAGCCUGGACAUUUCCUAAGUGUGUGUGUAUUCUACUUGCAUCUGCUGCUUGUGUGCUCUAAGACCUAGUGCCCUGCUUGCGAUUCAAAUAUGAAUGACUUCUUGUGAUGACAACAGUUCUGGUCUAGGAUGCUUGACAUUUCAGUGUGUGUAGCUGGAUCAAACAGUUUAGAAAUAAAAUCCUCAUUUCUGGGAUUAUAUAUGUGGACAAUCAGAUCUUUAUCUUUUCCCAACUUAAUGAAUUGGUGGCCUUGGCUUUGGCCAUGGUGAUUCUCAGCAUGCAGUGCUUUUACAUGGGAUUAUGCUAUUCGCUUGCAGAUCUUGUCAGUAAGGUGCUUAAGAAGUGAGGCACAUUGAAACAUUUAGCAAAUUUUAGCCUUGUGGAGACUCUACCACUUGACUCUCCAUUUCCUAUAGUGCAGGGGACAAUAUUUGGUAUUAAGACAGAAAAAUCAUGCCCAUCCAUAGUCUCUCUCUCAACACAACACGUCUAAGUCACACUCUGUCUCCUAUUCACUACUGAGCAAUUAUCUGGCCACAUCUUUGCACACAGUGUUGCUGAUGGAAUCAAAGUACCACAUCUGUAUUGUUACCCUCUGUUCCUAUUGCAGCUCUUGGGUGUCAUUAGGAGCUUUGGUUCUCCUGCAGGAGAUCUGUGAGAUCCUGGGCUAAGUCUGGCCCAGCAGCUUUCAGUGAGAUGCCUGUUCCUGGCAGGAGGGUCAAGUGCCUGGGGAAGGAGUGGCAUAGGAAAUACCAGACACACUAAAACUGCAAUUUUGGAUUCCACACAAGGGUCUCUCACUUUCUUGUGGAGAAAAAGAGUAACUGCCUGCAUUGGUUUUAUGACCUACUGUUAUCAAUGCAAGCAAAAAAUAUGAAAAAACACGUCUGUAUUACACAUCCUGCAAGGUAAUGGAUUGAUCCUGAGUCUGCAUGUUCAUCAGCAUCUUAGGGAAAGUGACAGAGGAAAAGGAGAUGUCUGUGAGGGCCACGUGGCUGAGAAAGAAGUACAUGGGGGUGUGGAGGCAAGGGUCCAGCCUGAUGAGCAGGAUGAUGAGCGG